AACGUCCUCAUCACCCCUUCUGGAAAGGCGGGAGCGGGGAGGGAAGACUUCCAGCCUAUGUUCCUGGUGCGUCUCCCAUGCCUUUCCCAGGCUGCGACAUGUGCGUUCCUCCUACGAGGCAGCAGGUGGCGCUGUAGGCCCUGGCUGUGGCUGGCUCCCCCCGCCUCGGGGCUGCACGUGGGGGAGGCACCACAAUUUCUGAAAAGAACUGGACCCUGACUGGAAGGGCAUCUCGCCUGUGAAGAUGAUUAUCAGAACCACAUUUAGGGGGGAAGGCAUCUAGUAGCAACCCUCAACCAAGACCUCCUCUGGAGCGAAAGUUGUGACACUCGGCAGCGUCUUUGUGCAAAGAAGUCUAUUACAGGGAACCAGCAACAAUGGAAUAUCAGUCCUGUGAUGAAUCUAUGCAAGGAUCAUUUGUGAUUGGUCAGAGAUCACCUACUCAGGAAGUCUGCUAAGCUGUUGCUGACUCUCAGGAGAUGAAAGGUCAUCAGAGUUGCCCCAUUCUGAUGGGGCCAAGUCUAGAAUGUAAUGAUCUCCAGGCAGAAGGGCAAGAAGUGGGCACUCCUCUCCUUCACCCCCAUUUGUUCAGGCAAAGUAUAGCUGUCAUGUUGUCUGUGAAGAUUUGCACUACUCAGCUCUGGAGAACAAGCAGGAUCAUCAUACAAGACAGUCAGAUGGCUCUGAGCUCUAGAAUGUUCAUGUGUAACCCCAUGUCAUCAAGGGAACAACUUCCUUGAAUUUGCAGGUGGCCCAAAUAAGCUCCCCAACUUGUCCCUGAGGUAUCCAUGAUCAGUGGCUCUUUUGGGGAGAGGACUAAAAGGGUACCCCUUUCCAUGCACUUGUAGGAUCUGACCACACCAGUUCUGCAAUGACUUAAUGUGGUGCUGAAACCUUCCCAUUUGAUGUCUCACUGGAAAAUAGACCACCCUGAGCCAGAGCUGAAAGGGUCACAGGUGAAGUCUGAUGGAAUAUUUCCUGGAGUAUCAUGAUCAUUUCUAUGAUGGGUACUCUGGCUGGUUGGUUACUGGUAUGUUCACAUUUCCCAACAAUACAGAGCUUUUCAUUAUUUUCUCAAAACCAGAAAUGAUUGAACUCUGACUUGCAUUUCAGGUAUGUUACUUCAAGCUAGUCCCAUUACAAGCCUUCUACAGUUCAUACUAUUUUUUACAGAGAGAAGAAAAAUCUCUGGUUUUCCUCCCAGUCAGUUGCAGGAACAUACAUAAUGUGACCUCUCUUUAGGACUCUAUAGAUGUAGUAAAAGGUAUAGAUAAGUAAUCAUGAUUGGUUACUGGCAUAGAAGACAGUGGAGAUCAUUUGCUUGGACAGUGCAAUUUGAGAGAGCUAAGACAGGGGAUGGAUGUAGUCCUAGCUUUUUCUUAACCCAAUGAGAUUGUCUUGUCAUUAAUAAGGUAGUAUCCCCACUCUGAAAGAUUGUUUGUCUUGAAGUGCUUUUGAUGUGAUUGACUCAGAUAGAACUGGCCCUCCAAGGGGACGUCAAGUGGCCAGCCACAUGAACUCUGCCAAUCCAGGAAUUCAGUCUCAGUAAAACUAGCUUAUAACCAUUCAAGCUGUUAGCAAUAAAGCUGGCCACACACAUCUCUGCUUAUUCAUUCUUCAGAACUCACAGAACAGAAGUGUAGUUCAGUGCUUUAAGAAAGAGACACCUGAAUUUAAUGCUCAUAAGAACUGAGAUGUAGUAUCAUCUAGCCACAGACAGGAUGACAGUUUUAGGCUCUUCCUAAAUGAGGCUACAGCUAAUAGUGGUAAGUUUUAUUGUGAACUAACUUUCAUUAGAGAGCUCUCUGAAAUUAUAAAAAAUGAUUUUUCAUCAUGACAUCACCUGAACUGCUUCUAACAGUGGAAACUUGUGUAUUAAUCUAUUUCCCCUCCCCUGCCCCCCAUACUAAUAUUUCCAAAAAGGUGGAGUUGGAGGUUAAUAGUGAGACUAGAAAUAGGUACUAGUAAGAAACUUGAGACCCCAGGAAUGUCAAAGGGAGGAUUAAUUUUCACUGUCUUCCUUUGAGUCCCAUUCCCUUUUACAGUUAAGAGCCUUAAUGGGGGGUUAGGUUUGCCAUUCCCAGAAAGCAGCCACCCCUAUUCUCCCAAAUUCACUGAGCACUGAAUUCAUUGGGCAAAGCUUAUGCUUACAGAGCAGGAGUGCGCAAACUAUGGUCUGUGGGAUUGCCCCUCAUGGCACCACAGGCCCCUUUCUGCCCUCAGAAGUGGCUGGCAGCACUUCCCUGCAGCCCCGGGGGGGGCAGGGGAAGAGGACGCCAUGCAUUGCCCUUGCCUCCAG